GGCUCAGGAUGAACGCUGGCGGCGUGCUUAACACAUGCAAGUCGAACGAUGAUGCCCAGCUUGCUGGGUGGAUUAGUGGCGAACGGGUGAGUAACACGUGAGUAACCUGCCCUUGACUCUGGGAUAAGCCCGGGAAACUGGGUCUAAUACUGGAUAUUCAGCUGCUAUCGCAUGGUGGUGGUUGGAAAGGGAUUGACUGGUCAAGGAUGGACUCGCGGCCUAUCAGCUUGUUGGUGGGGUAAUGGCCUACCAAGGCGACGACGGGUAGCCGGCCUGAGAGGGUGACCGGCCACACUGGGACUGAGACACGGCCCAGACUCCUACGGGAGGCAGCAGUGGGGAAUAUUGCACAAUGGGCGCAAGCCUGAUGCAGCGACGCCGCGUGAGGGAUGACGGCCUUCGGGUUGUAAACCUCUUU
rnacentral:rRNA from 1 species